rnacentral:sRNA from 1 species
GGUAAAUGAAGUUCGACUAAGGUCGGCCACGUCCUGUGGCAACGUCGAACUACCCUACAUCGUGUAGG